UUUCGCAACCUUAGCAUUCUUUAGCAGCCAUCUCCCUUCAGCUACCCUCCUCUUCACUUCUUAGCCUUCUUAAAAUAUAGCCAUGUGAAGAGUACUUCGAGAGCUGCCAUUUCUUUCUCAAAGUUCACCUCUUUUUCAUCUCCACAGCAACCUCCCUUCAUAGCCAAAGACCUCUCUUUUUGUAGCUCUAGCUCUUUGGUUACGUUUCUUUUGACAACAUGCUAAUACCAUUUAUCAUCUUGAUAUAUAGUUCAAAGCAACUUCAUUUUGGUUGUUUCGUUCUAGCGGCGGUUGAAGGUAGAGGCGUCGAACGACGACGUGUGCUGCUUCGUAGUCCCGGCGAAAACUUUUGGCAGCGUAGCUCUUUUCACCAAAGCAACUUUCAUUUGCGUGGUUCCGUUCUAGCAGCGGUUGAGGGUAGAGCUAAAAGCCGAUAGUAGCGGCAGCAGCAGAAUUUUGAAGUCUCCGCGUUACGCCGUCGCCGUCAACUGCAAGACUUACGUUGAGUCCCAUCUGCCGCAGCUGCUGGAGUAUUCACGCCACCGUACCGUCGACUCGGUCCUUCGUGAAACAAUGCCACUAAAACUCUCCGCCGACACGCCUCUGUGUUUGACUGCUCGCGAAAGCUCAUUGGCUUGUGUCCGAGAUGCAGCACAGUUACGCAGCUCGCUGCUUGUUGCUUGUCAUGAAGGAGUAGAGGUUGGAGCUGUAGGGAGCUUCUCACUGCCGUUCGCCGGAGAUUGAGGAGUCGGUGGCUUUGAACUUGAGGUGGUCCAGGCUGGAGAGCGCCAAGGAGGCUGUAGCUGACCAUGACUGGAGGUCUUUCGUGGCGACGUUGCUCUAGCGGGAGGGCUGCUGUCGGAGCAACGCGGCGGCGAGACGCCGGAUUUGAUAAAAGGAGCAGAGCAGCGUCGUGUAUGUGUGUACUGUCAGCGAAACAAAAGAGAGUAUCACCUGCAGAAAAUGUGGCGCCGGCAACGGGAAGAGGCUGGCGACAGUGGGCAGAUUUUGGGUGGACAGUGGCGUGAGGUGGAUGGCGUGAAGGAGACGGCGCCGGGCAUAGCUCCUUGUUGCUUCCCUAUUUUGCCGGAGCUAUGUGCGCAGCGGCAGUCUCCGGAAGCGGUGGCGGGUCUGCUGAGUUGUCUCGCGAAAGUUCAGAUGGCGAGGAGAGGCGACCGGAACGAGGCCGGAUGGCAGGCGGUUGCCGGAGAAGAGAGAGUAUGAGAAGAGAUGCGCCGCCUAGGAGUGUUGGCUGCGGUCUCAUCCGAGGAAAAGAGAGAGUAUGCAAUUUAGCCCUUGGUUGAAUUUAUGUUGGGCCAUCUUUUGGUGGGGCUUUGGGCUUCAUUGCUGGGCUUCUUUAAUUUGUAGAGAGGCCAUCUUAAAUUACACCAAGCCCAUUUCUAUAAAUCAAAUAAAUCGGGCCCAAUUUUGGAAACAAACUGGCAGCAGCGAAAGCUUGGUGAUGACGAUUUUGGAGGGUUAUGUUCAAGAUUGGCGCAGUCUUAUCAACCAACUUGAUGGCGGAUUUUGCCCCAAACGAGAUGCUUUGAG